GCGGGUAUAGUACAAUGGCAGUACAUCUGCUUCCCAAGCAGGAAACACGGGUCCGAUUCCCGUUACCCGCUCCA
rnacentral:tRNA from 1 species